ensembl:lncRNA
GCGGUCGGCAGCGGCUGCCGCCCAGUUUCGUCGCUCGCUGCCGGCGCUUGCGUGAACCGCCGACCGUGCGGCCCUCCACCUAGGACGCCCGCCCAACCGUCCCACCUGGGGGUCUGCUUACCUUACGGCUGACCGGAGCCGACCGACUGGCCGCAGCGUGAGAAGCGACAGAGAGCGGGGCUGCCCUUCACCGGCGCGCAGUGCGGAACGGGGAGCAGCAGCGUGCCGAAACAGCAACAGCGGGGCAGUCCCGAGGGCUCAGCCGCUCAGGAAGCAGUCAGCCAAACCGUAAAACUGCCACCGUACAUCUUGAGGACACCGCCCUUCCUGUUUGGGGUGGUUUGGUUUUGUUGUUUUUCUUUUCGUGUGGGUUUUUGUUUGUUUUGUUUAAGCGUGGCGGUGGUUGUUCUUUGCUUUUGGUUUACUUCCAUUGCUUGGUUUGCUUUCUGGUCGCUGUUUCCUCUAAAGAUGGCGGGAACACGUAGGGCAUAGAAAUAACAGCAGGGUGGUUUGCAUUUCUAGAAGCGUGUGACGUGUCAGAGGUUUCUGUGAUAAUGCCAUAGGGUGGAUGUGUCACACUCUCCUCUGGGGGCUGCUGCUUCUCCUCACCCCCACAGCUGGGCAGCAGAAGGUCCAGGAUGCCCCCAGAGAGACAUACAAGUCGAAGAUGAUGUUCGUAUUGCUCGGUCCUUCAGGAACUGUGAGGUGGAUCCUGCUGCUAGAGAGCUUCCUAAAGGAGUCGCUUUCUGCCCCAAAAGGAACUCAUCCGACAGAAAGUAGAAGUUCUCAAGACCUGUAUUUGUGUCUCAGCACAAAUUCCUGAUGUGGAAGGGUUAAAAUGCACGAGGAAGUCACUCAGUGUUGCAGUAUCACCUGAAUCGUUCUGCUCCUUCUGAUGUCCCAGAAAGAGAGUGGGACAUGUCUGCUCUCCUCUGGAGUGCUUACACCAUCUGAGGUUUUGCAUGGUGAGAGAAAACAAGUGCAGCUGCUGCUGCCAAGUGGAUUUAUUUGCUCUGGCAUGUAACUUAGUUGUGCUGCUAUACCUCAGUGGUGACACCGAAAUGAGUGCAUUUAUUUCCUGUUGCUGCCAAAGAACACAAUCAAAUGUGGCUCUGAGGACCAAGUAAUAGGGUUACAGUACCACUGGCUCUUAGCACUGACAUCUCAGCUACUCAUCGUAAGGGGGAGAGGUCAUUUGCAGGAGUGACACUCUAGGCAUUAAGCUGUCACUGGGAUAGCACUGAGGGCUAUGGAUUGCUCUGACUGAAACAAAGCAGGCAGUUUUGCAGAAGCACCAGCUUGCGAGCAGUGUAUAAGGCAGUUCUUCAGUUUGUCUUUAAAACUUACCAGCUGAGUGGCAAAAUUAUUCUUCAAUGUUCAGUGGGAUAAACAGGGGGGCAUUUCUUGGUGUCAGCCUGCAAGAGGAAACGUGCUAGGAUUACACAAGUGAGUUGCUCCAGCUACUCAAACUCACAAAGGCUCUAGGGAGUAACCAGAGCAAGCUGAACACCUGCUGAAGAGAGGCUUAGGUCCAGGAAUGACACUGUCUCUCUCCAGCUGACAGGGACAUUUGUGGCAAAGGCUUGUGCUGCAGCCAGCCACCCUAGACCUGUCCAACAGCCCACAAGCUCAGUGCUAGCUUAGACUGAAAUUCUGAUGCAGAAAAGCCACAAUCUGGAAGAAGUCCUCUAAAAGUGAAUGAGGGGCCACAGUCUGAACCUUGAGCCAGGACUGGGCAUUUUGGAUGAGGCUCAACUUGCAACCAAGGUGUAGGGUUAGGACAGAAAGGGAAACAGAGCCAAAGCUUCUCACCAGCAUGAGGCUGCAAAGGAGCUGCUGAAGAAAGGGGAAGGCUACAAAAAGUCUGUGUAACAACUGUGGUGGGGAGUGCAGGCACAGGAUACAGCCUGUUCAGCUGGAAUGACACCAAACAAGUAUUUCAAGCAUUGCAGCACUAAAACGAAUGUGUAUUUCUGCCUUUGUCUGUAUUUUCCUUCAUAAUGAAGUGGUCAAAGAGAUCUUCCACAUCCUGAAACAGUUGUGCCUUAGCAUGGAGCACACAGACAGCUAUAAUCAGCACUCAAGGCAUUGUUUUUUAGUGACAAUGGCAAAAAAGGUGAAGUCUUUGAAAGAGCAGAUGUUAGCACCCCUGAUUUAAACCUUGUGGAUAAAGCUGCUGGCUCCACCACAGCCUUGCCGGUUGUUCUCUAGGACCAGCAUCUCUUCAAAUGCUACAAGGAUACUUAGCACAUCUAACAGGAAAAGGCUUUAUUAACAGCUUGCUCUUGUAAGAACAUCCUAUUUUCCCAAGCAUUUCUCAGAGACAGAGAUUAGGAAGGUCUUCUGAUUUAAGCAAGUGCAGUAAAUCGCCCAGGGAGAUAUUAUACCUAUCAUCUUUUUCCAAUUCAGAUUUCAUUGAAGCACAAAGAGCUUUGGGAAUGAGGCACUCUAUGAUGGAAAGCAACAUUCAUGCCCUUUUGGAUAUCUAGUAAGCUUUGCUAGAGGGGAAGUCUAUUUGUAUAUCAAAUCCCAUACAUCCUUGCAAGGCAAGCAUUUUCUAUAGUUAAGAACAUUGGAAAUUACAUAUUUUACCUCCCAGAAUAACCAUGUUAAAGUACAGGCUGGAGGCCAGGAUAAAGGGAGAGAUUAUUAAAGCAAAGGGUAGUGUUACCAGAAAGAAACAAAGUGUUAAGUGACAAUAAAAGCCAGUAAGAAGAAGGAACAGAAAUCUAUGGCCUGAUGAUUAAACUGAUAAGCAAUGCUGGCUCUAACCUCCAUUUCACUAGUUUAAAAUAACAGUGGGGGAGAUGAGUUGUAGGUACCCAAAUAUCACUCUGGAAGGAGAAAGUUAUUACUUCUUAAAAAGCUACUUACAUUUAAGGCCUCCAGAGCCACUGAGUUCUGAUUCUGUGGACUAUCACAAGAUCUACCUUCUUGGCAAAUAUCAUCCUCCCAUGUUUGUUUUCUCACCUUCCACUGACAGGUAAUAUUCUUCUUUCUCUGUGUGUGCUUGCUGAUCUGUGUAUUGGUCUACAACAUACGGGAUCUGCCCAACUCCUUUCCUUUAAUUCUUCUGGGUCUGUGUCUAUUUUCUGAAAUUAUUUGUUCCUAAUCCCAAAUUCCUAAAUUUGCAUUUCCAUUGAAAUGCCAUUGGGAUGAUGUAUUCAGAGACCAGCUCUGACCUUGUCCUUCUUUUGGCACUUCAGAAAUCAACAACGUGUCUUGGUUUAAUUUCUACAGUGGCAUAACUUGCUGCAGACUGUAAAGGCAGCGUGUUUCGCUAUUCUUCACUGCUGGAGCUCUAGUUCUUUAUUCAGUAUUUCUUCCUCAUGAGAAAUGGAUGCUCCACCUGCGUACCUUUCAGAAGAUCAAGUCUGUUGCUGCUGGGUGGGCUUUCUCCUGCAGACUUGUGCUGCACUGACUCAAAGGCAGCUGCCUCCACCCGGUCAUGUUUUGUACCUUGGGGUUCUGCCACCCUGCAGUCCAAAUUGUCAUGGUGCUGAAGUCAGUUGUCUGAUGGAGGCAACACUGCCACAUCUCUGUGUUCCCUGUUCCAGCCAGGACAUUGUAUUCCUAGUAGAGGCCCCCCUCACAAACAUAUGUGCACAGGACAUAUAUACUGUACAGAGUAAUAGAUCAAGGGUCAGAGAAGCCUGAACAGACUCUUCAUAGCACCCCAGGCUGAGCAAGGUGCAAGCCUCCCUAGAGGAGGGAAGAUGGACACCACUGUAUACUGCAGCAGGGAACCACAUGCUUCUAUCACUCAUUGAUUUCUCCCAGUGAUGCUGCAGGAUUCAGGCUCUUGUUUUCUAUAGUAAGUUAUAGGAUGGCCAACCUAUUAUAAUAAUUCCUGGAACAGAUACUCUCCAAGAUCCUAAAGUCUCCAGCACAGUGCAUAGCUCCUCUUAUUCUGAAG